rnacentral:rRNA from 1 species
UACGAAGGGGGCUAGCGUUGUUCGGAAUUACUGGGCGUAAAGCGUGCGUAGUCGGUUAUUUAAGUCGGGCGUGAAAGCCCCGGGCUCAACCUGGGAAUUGCGUUCGAUACUGGAUAGCUAGAGUUCGGCAGAGGGAAGCGGAAUUUCGGGUGUAGCGGUGAAAUGCGUAGAUAUCCGAAGGAACAUCAGUGGCGAAAGCGGCUUCCUGGACCAGAACUGACGAUCAGGCACGAAAGCGUGGGGAGCAAACAGG